rnacentral:rRNA from 1 species
GUGUCAGCCGCCGCGGUAAUACGUAGGGGGCAAGCGUUGUCCGGAAUCAUUGGGCGUAAAGAGCGUGUAGGCGGCUUGGUAAGUCGGCUGUGAAAGUCGGGGGCUCAACCCUCGAAUGCCGGCCGAUACUGUCAAGCUAGAGUCCGGAAGAGGCGAGUGGAAUUCCUGGUGUAGCGGUGAAAUGCGCAGAUAUCAGGAGGAACACCGAUGGCGAAGGCAGCUCGCUGGGACGGUACUGACGCUGAGACGCGAAAGCGUGGGGAGCAAACAGGAUUAGAAACCCCAGUAGUCC